rnacentral:rRNA from 1 species
UACGUAGGGUCCGAGCGUUGUCCGGAAUUAUUGGGCGUAAAGGGCUCGUAGGCGGUUUGUCACGUCGGGAGUGAAAACUCAGGGCUCAACCCUGAGCGUGCUUCCGAUACGGGCAGACUAGAGGUAUGCAGGGGAGAACGGAAUUCCUGGUGUAGCGGUGAAAUGCGCAGAUAUCAGGAGGAACACCGGUGGCGAAGGCGGUUCUCUGGGCAUGAUCUGACGCUGAGGAGCGAAAGUGUGGGGAGCGAACAGG